GGCGACGAUCGAUAGCUGGUCUGAGAGGAUGAUCAGCCACACUGGAACUGAGACACGGUCCAGACUCCUACGGGAGGCAGCAGUGGGGAAUAUUGGACAAUGGGCGCAAGCCUGAUCCAGCAAUGCCGCGUGUGUGAAGAAGGCCUUCGGGUUGUAAAGCACUUUUAUCGGGAGCGAAAUACCAUUGGCUAAUAACCGAUGGGGCUGACGGUACCCGAGGAAUAAGCACCGGCUAACUUCGUGCCAGCAGCCGCGGUAAUACGAAGGGUGCAAGCGUUAAUCGGAAUUACUGGGCGUAAAGGGUGCGUAGGCGGUUAGUUAAGUCUGAUGUGAAAUCCCCGGGCUCAACCUGGGAAUGGCAAUGGAUACUGGCUAGCUAGAGUGUGUCAGAGGAUGGUGGAAUUUCCGGUGUAGCGGUGAAAUGCGUAGAGAUCGGAAGGAACAUCAGUGGCGAAGGCGGCCAUCUGGGACAACACUGACGCUGAAGCACGAAAGCGUGGGGAGCAAACAGGAUUAGAUACCCUG
rnacentral:rRNA from 1 species